GAGCUGCUCUGAAGCUGGCCAUCAGAUGAGGAAUUCAAGGAUAUGUCCUACAGUGGACAGCCAAUGUAAAAGUGGUUCCAAAAUAAAAGUUUAUUUUUCUUUCACAGUAAGUCAGAAGUAGAUAAUUCUGGUGAGGUUGCUUCUGCCGCACUUUAAUAGUCAAACAUAAUUACAAGAGAAACUACAGAAUGAAUUCUUUACUAUCGAUGACAUUAUGUUCAACUAAUAAUGAAGUAUUUUAUUACUUAGAGUAAAAAAGGCUAAAAAUAAUGAGAAAAAAAUAGUAAUCUCUGCCUGUGGUAUAGGAAUUCCUAAGACUCACAUGAUUCACAUUUCCUUGUGUUCCCUUCUUAGGUAUGGACAGCAUAUAACCUGCUUCUAAGCCACAGAAUCUGGAAAAGAUUGAGGAGACCUUUGGGCUGGACACAAGCAAGCAUCCACACUGGAGAAUAUACAUGACAAGGAAUUGGGUAUUUUCUAGAAGCUGAGAGCAGCCCCUGGCCAACAGUGAGCAAAGAAUAAAUAGCUCUUCAUCUAAGGACCACAAAUAAUUGAAGAUUGCUAGGGCAAGAGCAAGAAAGCAGAUCCCUUCCAAGUCAAACCUCUAGAGAAGAAUUUUACCCUUGGCUGAAACCUUCACUGCACUUAUGUGAUACUCUUAUAAGAUCAUGGCUAAGUUGUGCCCAGAUCCUUGACCCUCAGAAAAUAAGAUAAUAAAUGUUUAUUGUAUUAUCCCA